rnacentral:lncRNA from 1 species
GCUAGUAGGUUGUACCUGGGUCUGCAUGAAAAUAUGUGUAGAAACAUAGUAUGAGUACAACACAACGGUACCUAGUAAGUGCCAAGCCUAACCUCGUUAGAGUAGUGAUGAGGUUAGGUCAAGGCCUUAUUGGAAUAUAAGAUAUAAGGCGGAAGAUUAAAUGAUAAAAAGGAAAUAGCAAGUAAAUGAAACAGUAAGAAUGUACGGGAAGCAACAACAUAGGAAAAUAGGAAGAUAAUUUCAUCACAUAAAGAAAAGAACUUCUUACAAGUUAUGGAACAACAACAACAACAACAACAACAAAUACAGCAAGAAAAGGAACUCAAUAGGGGCGCUCCCAAGGUACCACCUCGUAGUCCCACAAGUAAAUAUCUCACGAUGGCACGACAGAAACCUCGUGCCAACAACACUCCGCACGGAAGAAACCUCAUACCAAAUCACACUCCACACGGAAGAGACCUCGUGCCAAUCGCACUUUGCAUGAAAGAAACAUCAUGCCAGUACCACAUCACACAGAAGAAACCCCGUGCCAAUCACACUCUACACGAAAGAAACCCCGUGCCAAUAACACACCAUAUUGAAGAAACAUCGCGCCAAUCACACUCCACACAGAAGAAACCUCGUGCCAAUAACACACCGCACGGAAGAAAACUCGUUUCAAUCACGCUCCGCAUGGAAGAAACUUUGUGAUAAUAACAUACUGCACAGAAGAAACCUUAUGCCAAUAACACUCCACACGAGAGAAACCUCGUUCCACAACCAAAACAAUCAUCACAGCAAGAAUCACGAAAUUCAACACGUAAUAAAUACAAAAUGAUAUUACAAGAAAGAAAAUCCUACAAUUAAAGAAAUAAUACGAAAUUAAGGAAAAACAAAGUAAUUCAACUAAGCAAGUUGUACAAAUUACAACUAAGAAAUGAAACAUGUAAAGAUGUGAAAUUAGGCUAAACAUGAAGAUUACACGUGCUAGAAUAACUCAUUUAAGGUAUUAAAAGAAACUACUUAGCAAAGAUCGGAUUAUACAUAUUUAGCUCGCGUAUGCACUCGUCACCUCACAUACACGGCACUCACAUAGCACAAAUUGUUAGAAUAGUACCAAAUCCUAAAGGGAUUUUUCCCCCGCAAGAUUAGACAAGUCACUUACCUUAAACCAAGCUUAAUUAGUCAAUAAGAAUGUUUUUCCCUUGACUUUCCGUCUCUGAACGGCCCAAAUCUUGCCAAAAGCAGAUACAUAUUAUUAAUAUAACUAUAAAAAUGUAAUCUAAUUAAUGAAAUCAUGACUUUAACAAGAAAUUAAAAAAUCGCCCCAAAAGGUUGAUUCGGGUCCACAUCUCGGAAUCAGGUAAAAAUUAAAAAAUCUGAGUACUCGUUCACCACGAGUUCACCCAUACCAAAAUUACUCAAACCCAAUACCAAAAUCGCGAUCAAAACCUCAAAAUUUGUUCUAAGAACUGUCCUCAAUUUUCCUCUAAUUUUUCACCCCAAAUCACUGAUUUAAUGAUGAAAUCAAAGGCACAAUCAUGAAAAUUAACUAAAACUAGGUAGGAAUUACUUAUCCCAAACACCCACGUGAAAAUCUCUCCAAGAAUUGCCUUCCACCGAGUUCCAAAAUCAUUUUUUGUAUAAUGAACUCAAACUCUCAUUUUUUUAAAUGUUUAAAUCUUCCUAAUUACCCUUCAUUGCGAUCGCGGAACGUUCUUUGCGAUCGCGAAGCACAACUAUGCUACCCCAUGAAUUAACUUUAUGCGAACAGGGAAACCUCCACACGAACGUGAUGCACUAUCCCUCAUGCUUAUGCAAUAGCGAAUGACCCCACGCGUUCCCGAUGAACAAAAUAAUUGACCUAGCUUCCGCCUCAUAAACUCUACGUGAACGCGACCAUAGCCACACGUUCGCGAUUCACGCUCUCCCACAGCUACACAAUUGCAACCUCCUUAUCGUGAAAGCUUAGAAUAAAUUCUUCCACUGCUCAACUAAGCCUAUGCGAUUGCGGACCUUCCUACACGAUCGCGUAUAAGGAAACGAGAUCAGAGACACCAGAAAACGUCAGCAAACUUCUAAGUCAAAUUUUCAAUCCGAUAACCAUCUGAAACUCACCCCAUACCCCCGGUUCCUCAAUCAAACACUCCAACAACUCCGAAAAUAUAAUACAAACUUAGUCGAGCCUUAAAAUCACAUCAUAUAACAGUAAAAACACGAAUUGCGCAUCGAUUCAGGCCUAAUAAACUUUAGAACUUUAAACUUCUAUAUCUGAUGCUGAAACCUAUCAAAUAUUAUUUUGAUUGACCUUAUAUUUUGCACACAAGUCACAUUAGACAUUACCAACCUACUCCAACUUUCAAAAUCCAAAUUCGACCUCGAUAUAAAAGUUUUUCCCUGGUCAAACUUUUCAAAAAUCUUCCAAUUUCUAACUUUCGCCAAUUAACGCUGAAAAUGACCUAACAACCUCCAAAUCAACAUUCGGACACAAUCUUGAGAUCAAAAUAACCAUACGAAGCUAUUGGAAUCGACGAAACUCCAUUCCGGAGUCGACGUUGUCUUCUCACUGGUCAACUCUUACAACUCUAACUUCAAACUUAGGGACUAUGUGUCCCAUUCCACGCCAAAAUUCCCUCGAACCCAACACCGUGCACCUCGGCAAGUUAAGUAAGCAUAAAAAUGAAGCGGAGGGGAAAAUAAAUAGGGGACGGAGGCUAAUACUCUUAAAAUGACCAGUUUGGUUAUUAAAAAAAUAGCCAAAUUGUUAUGUAUUUUUAUAUUAUUAGUUAAAAUCGUGUGAAAAAUAUAUGUAGCUAACUAUGGUUAUAUACUAAGAAAUAUGGCUAAAUAAAAUGACAUGUAUCAUUUAUUUAUUGAAGGGGUGUAAGCACUCGGUGCGGGUAAGUAUUUGCCUCAAUUAUAAAUGCAUACGAAGAUUUAGAUUUGUGAAUUAGUAUUAUAGCUUGUUUGGCCGUGCUUUAAAAUUAACUUAUUUUGAAAAGUACGUUUCUCAACCAAAAAAAAAAUUAAAAAUAUUCUUUCAUUGAUGAACAGUUUGUAUUGGCUAACCAAUUUUAAAAAUACUGAACAGUAAUUAGAUUCUUGACCAAGUUAUUGAAAAGUGUUUCUAAGUAUAUUUUUAUUAAAAGUACUUUUAAAAAAAUUCUUUUGGAGACGAUGAUUUUUCCUGCUUCUGAAAAUUUAUUUUUAUUUAUACUCAAAAAUCACAUUUUUUUCUUCAAAAAACUUGACUACAUUUUCUUUUGGCUGAAGUAAAAUACUUUUGGCCAAAGAUCAACAUGGCCAAACUGACUAGUAAUAAGAAGUUUCUCAUCUAACCUCGAAAGUGAAGAUCUUCUUGAUAGCGGUGUCGACUUAUCUUUCUAAUAAGCCUUGUUUAGCACGAGUUUGAAUUAGUGUGGUAAGAAAAUUUCGGAUACUAAAUGAUUAAAUUUAAGAGGUACACCGCAAGGUCAAGUAACGAGGUAAAAAAGAUUCAAUUAAACAUGCAUGAACAUUUGAAUUGGUUAACCUGAUUGUAUGAGUGAAAAGAAGAACUCGGUCAUACGAUUGAAUUAUGGUUUUUAAUAACUUCUUUGAUUAUUUCAUUAGAAUAGACAUUGUUUUCCUAGAGGAAAGUAGAUGAACGAAGCAACAAUAGUUAAUUGAAGAGCCUUAUCAAGCCUAAAAGGCAUCAUAUUUAAUCCAUAAAUCAUCAAAUUUUCAUGAUUAAAAUUCUCGUAAGUAACAAUCAUCUUAGGAACUGAAAGUGACCGCACUAUUUAUUAAUCAUAAUUUAUUCCAAUACAAAAUGGGUAUGUCUUAAAAUGUUAAGAGGAAUUUGUAAGUAAUCUUUUCCUUUUUUAAAAAAAUGUAUAAGUACCCUUGACCUAUAUUUGAAUUUCCAAUUACAUUUUUUUUCGAAAAUUUAUUUUUUUUCUAAAAAACUUUAAAUGGAAUUAUUUGCACCCUUUUUUUUGGUAAUUAACUUUCUUUAUAUUAAUCACCAAAGAGAGAUCAUUACAAAACUAUAAUCAGUAUCAACUCUACUGAUUAUCUCAACUAGGACAUAGUAACCAUAAUCUACUCCCAAGGACUAUACAUUUUGGUACUCUCUAUAUUAAUAAGUAUUUCGGUAAUUGACUUCUAACUUAAGGCUCCACUCUAACAUUACAAAUAUGGACUAUCUCUCGAACUAUACUAUCACAAUGCCGAUAUCUUUUUUAAAAGAUACGAUUAUUCCUCUCAAUCCAUAAUGCGUAGUAUGUUUCUGUGAGUACCAAUCUGCAAAUACUGGCUUUGUUGGAUUUCCCUUUUGCUUUCUUGAUGAUCCAUUGAACGUGACAUUGCCAAUUGCUGUAGCUUCCUUGAUCUUGUUGAAUCUAUUUCCAUAUUCUACUCCAUACUUCUAUUGCAUAAGGACAGUACAGAAACAUAUGAUCUCUUGUUUCUAGUUGUCCUUGGCACAAUACACAGCUUUGGUCAGUAGUCAUUCCCCAGCUUGCUAUUCUAUCUCUGGUAGGCAAUCUUCCAUGUUACAUUAACCACACUGAAGAUAGCCUUUGGUCUAGCAGAGUUCUCAAAAACUAAGCUCUUCCAACUCAUGCUUGGUAGGUCUCCCAGAAGUUGUAGAUACAUAUGUCUGAUAGUCACUUUGUCCCCUCUUGUGCACUGUAGUUGUUGUAGGACAUCCCUGGAAGCUAUCAUUCUUCUAACCAUCCAGCUAGCUUGCUUUGGGAUAGGCAUAGUGUGAAAUUGUUUAUGUUUGAUACAGUAGGCAUUGAUCCACCUAAUAAACAUCUUAUCUUCUUUAUGAGCUAAAUCCCAGCAAACUUUAGCAAUAGCUGCCUUGUUCCAGAUCAGGAGGUUAAUGAUAUUCAUUCCUCCAGUUCAUUUUGGAGUACACAUUUUAUCACAUGCCACAUAGCUCUUUCUGGUAAUAGUAUUGCUACCAUACCAUAUGUAGUUUCUACACAUAGCAUCUAUCAUCUUUAAUACUUUGGAAGAUAGAAUAAAUAGCUGAGCCCAAUAUGCUUGAAUUCCAAAGAUCAUAGAUUUGACUAAUUGAAUUCGACCAGCAUAAGAGAGCUUUUUUGCAGUCCAAGAAGAUACUUUCCCUGUGAUUCUAUCAAUUAAAGGCUUCCAUUAGAUCAAUUCAAUUUUCCUGAAGGACAAAGGGAUGCCUAAGUAAUUAAAGGGCAGCUCCCCUUAUACAAAUCCAAGAUAGCUUAAAAUUUGCUGCCUACAGCUUGUUUCAAUCCCCCAAAAUAUACUACACUUUUGCUCAUGAUAGCUUGCAAUCCAGAUGCUUUAGAGAAUUGAGAGAAGUACCGGUAUAGGGUGGAUAUAGAAAGAAGAUCACAUCUAGAAAAAAGGAGAAGGUCAUCAGCAAAACUCAGGUGAGUUAUGUGUAGUUUCUUGCAUCUAGGAUGGUAUUGGAACAACUUAUCCAUUCCCAUUUCACUAAAUGAUCUGCUCAAAUACUCCAUAAAAAUAGCAAACAAGAAAGGAGAGAUGGGGUCUACUUGUCUAAGAUCAUUAGCAGCUUCAAAAGGUUUAGUAGUUUCUUCAUUGAUCAACACUGUGUAACUAAGUGGUGUGACACAUUCUAUGAUCCACUUUAUGAAUUUAUCAUGGAAAUCAGUUUCCUCCAUCACUUGUUGCAAGAAUAUCCAUUCAACUGAAUCAUAGGCUUCUUGAAGGUAUAUUUUAAUCAUGCACUUAAGGGAGAUUUGGGCUUUAGUAUAAGAUUUCACUAGCUCACGGGCCAGUGUAAUUUUCCUACCAGGAAUAAAACCAGCUUGCUUAUGAGAUUAUACAUGCCAUGAUCUUUUGAAGUCUAGCAGCUAGAAUCUUGGAGAUCAUUUUGUAUAAUACUGUACAACAUGCAAUUGGUCUAUAUUUUUUAAUUGUGGUAGGUUUUAGUGACUUUGGGCACUAGGGUGAUGGUGGAACAGUUGAUUGGCUUAUACAUAUUAGAGGUUAAAAAGAAUUCCCUUAUAGCAUCUGUGACUUCUUUACGGAUAAUUCUCCAUGAUUUUUUGAAGAAGACAGCAUUGUAUCCAUCAAUACUAGGUGCCUUAUCAUCUCCAAUAGCUUUUAGACUCUCGAGAAUUUCUUUAUCAGUAAUAUCUGCACAUAGGUCUCUUCUUUGUUGUUGAGUUAGUAUGGGACCAUUGACAUGUAUGAUCUGUUUAUAGCUAGAAGUGACCUUGAGAUUGAUCCCAUAAGAGACUUGUAGAAAUCCAAAAUCUCUUCUUUAAUGCCUUUAGGAUCAGUAACCUAUCUCCACCCCCUGUUGUAAUAUCAUUGAUUUGUUUCCUCUGUGAUCUAUCUUUUAUAACAUAUGUGAAAUAUCAUAGACUAGUUCUCUAAGUUAAGUAAUGUCUCCUUCUCCCUUUUCAAAAGACCAUCUGAAUACUUACUUGCAAGCUGUUCUUGUAUAUCUUUUAGAUCCCUUUUAGCUGCUUCAAUUCUCAGAUUGAUUCCUUUAAAUUCCUUAACAUUCAAAGCUUUUAGGGGAGCUUUAAAUGCCUUCAGUUUAUACCAAACAGAUUUCAUAAUAACAAUAGAGUUUAUAGUAUUCCACCCUUCGGUCACUAUUUGAAUAAAGUCCUGAUGGUUAGUCCAUGCAUUGAAGAAUCGAAAUGGGACUUUCUCUUUCCAAGAUGAGUUUGUCAAAGUUAGUAGCAUAGGGGCAUCAUAUGAUAUCUGAGGGAGAUCAUAGACUGCCUCCACAUGAUUCCAGUUUAUCAUCUAUUCAUAAUUCCCAAGAACUCUAUCAAUUCUGCUGCUAACCUUAUAUAUUCCAGGUUGCCUGUGUGUCUAAUUAUAGUGUUCACCCUGCCAAGGAAGUUCAAACAAUGCUGUUUGUUGCAAAUAUGAGCUGCAAUCCUGAGUUUCUGCAAAACUAACUGGAUUACUAGACAAUUGAUCAUUAGCAUAUAGCACAGCAUUAAAGUAACCUGCAACCAACCAUGGGCCAGUAGCAAUUGUAGCAAUUUGUUGAAAAUUCUGCCAUAGUUCCUUUCUUUGUUCUAACCCAUUAAAUCCAUAAACAACAGUCAGAUAAUAUUGGAUGUCCCCUUUUCAGCUUUGAACUAGUGAGUGAAUCAUGAUCCUGAUUUUAAUAACCAUGAGAAGGUUAGAGUUCCAUAGCAGCCAUACUCUACCAUUCUUAGCUUCUCUGUAGUUAGUCAGAAUAUCCCAGCCAGGAGCAAUAUACUUCAAUAUUUUUUGAGCAUUUUCUUCUUCAACUUUGGUUUUCACUAAUCCUACUAAGUUUAUUUUGUUACUUCUUAUAUAUUCACUAACUUCCUUUUACUUAUACCUUUUUAUUUACACUCCUGAUGUUCUAGAAAAGCCACUUCAUUAUUGAUAGCUUAUUUUACCUCUAUCACUAGGUGGAAUAUUAUACUUGCUAUUAGACACAGGCUCAAAUCUAUUCUUGAUAGGAAUAGGUGACAGUGGAGGAAAGUUGACAAUGUUCACUCUGGACUUUGUAUUGAUUUCCCUUUAUCUUCCUUCUCUGUAUUAUCAUGAUCAACCAUUGGUUGGGCCUUCUCGUCAGUCUGUUGUAAUUCAGCCAUCCUGGAACCAUAAUCUCCCCUUCCUGCAAUAUUAUGAUCACCUGUUGGUUGAGCCUGCUCCUUAGGCUGUUGAGUUUCAACUAUCUUGGUAUUAUUGCCUUGUUUGAUCUCCUGUUUUUCUUCAGUAGGAACUGAUAUUUUAGUUCUCCACUCUUGGAUGAUUCUACCCUUUUUAGGAGGUCCUUGAAUACCAAUCUUGAUAUGAGCUUGGCAUUUAUGUCCCACUACUAGGCAUUUCUCACAGUAAGCAGGUUUCUAGUCAAAUGAGACACUGUAGGAUUUUUUUUCCAUAUGGUUCCAUCACCCAUACUUCACUUGGUAGUUCCUUAGUAACAUUAACCUCAAUAAGCAUCCUAGCAUAUGAAACUCUAGUCUACUUUGUGGUGCAUUCAUCAGUAAAAAUAGAUUUUUCAAUCACACUUGCUAUUCUACUUAAAGAUCUCAUACCCCAACAUGGCAUAGAAAGCUUAGGAAACUUUGCCCACAAAGGGAUGGAAGUGGGAAAUUCAUCUGCAAAGUCAAAAUCCGGGGUCCAUGUCUUUAGGAUGAUAGGUUUACUAGCUAUAGAGUAAGGUCAUGCACAUAGGAUUUCACAAGAAUCCUCCAUAUUUUUAAAUCUGAUUAUAUAGUAACCUUCCUCAUGAUAAAACUGGUCAGGUUCAGGCACAUGAGACCAGUGAAUACUAACAAAUCUUUUCCAGUUAAAAUUUCAAUGCAUUACUUUUUCCGGCAUGGGAAGAUUUUUCAGUGAUGAUUUUUCCCCCCAAAUCUGAGUGUAUUUUGCUUUACUUAUGAAUAGAUUUUUUUGAGAGUUUAAUUUGUGUGUGAAGUGAAAAAAUGGAAGAAAAACGAUUAGACAAAGUCGCCGGUGAAUGAAUAUUCGCCGGAAUUAGAGAAGAAAUGAAAAAAAAGUAAAAAAUAAAUACAAAGAAAACAAAAGAGGAAAAGGGAAAAAAAGUAAGAAAAAAUAGUAAAAAAAUAAUCUAAAAAUCAUUUUUUUCUUGCUUCUCACUCUCCUUUGGGAGAUUGAAAUACACACACUCUGCCACAUCAAUAUUACGGGUGCAAACAAUUCCAUUUAAAAAAGGUUUAGGGGGCUAAUAGGAUUUUCGCAAAGAAAAAGUGUGUAAUUGGAAUCCGACUACCGAUCAGGGGGGUACUUAUGCAUUUUUCCUUCAUUUUUAUUUUAAAAAUAUAUAACUGUUGUACAAGUUUGAGGCAAAAUGGAUACAACACUGGUCUAAAUUUGGCGAAUAGGCAACGGUAGAUAAACAGGAACGAGGAUGGGGUCGACCGCGGCGUAAUAGCGAAAAACUAUCAUCGGGAAGACUAUUGUCAAGGACGAGCAACUGGAGUAAAGAAAUAACGGUAGGAUAGGUUUAGAAAUGGACAUAAGAAAUAUUUCCUUGGAUAUUCCUUUUUUUUUGUAAUUUUUAGGAUUUUUUGGAAAUACCCCUUAUAAAUAAAAAGAGAUAGAGAACAAAAUGAGGUUCUUGACUUUUUGAUAAGGGUACAUUAUAAAUGGUUGACUAGAAGGAAUAUACAAAAAUUGUCAUGUUCACUGAUUUUCUUAUCCAAGUUGUUUAAUCAAUUCAUAAGAUCCAAAAAUUUCUCAUCCAUCUUCACGUCUCAUUUUUUCACGUUGCUAUCAGGAAAAAGAACCAUCCAAAUCAUAUAAUAAGCGAGUGGUAGAUUCUUUGUUAUUACAUUUAUUAUCGUUAUCUACAUUUAUUACAUGCUCAUAUUAUAAUAUUUAUUGGUAAUCAUUGAGUAUAAAUCGGUAAUUUACUGCUCUCAAACAUUGUUCAUCUUAUUAAUUUUCUACAAUAUUUGAUCUAGAGUUUAUUAUAUUUAACCAAGAUUCAUCCAUCAUUUUUUCAUUAAUUAGUUUAACAAAAGGCUUAAGACUUUUUGGUCAAACACAAAAGGUAAUAAAUAGUAACCUUUGUCCAAAUUUAUGUGUUCUCGUAUGUCUUUUAGAUAUUUCACAAAUUAAGUAGUGGUUGUGAUGAUAGGCUACAACUUUUAUGUUAUACGUUUUUUUUCAAAUUCCCAACAAAACAGAGUGAAAAGUGCAUGUCAAAUGUGUGGCCGCGCUCAGGCCAUGCUCGUCACGCAACAUUAAAGUGGAUAUGUGCGUUCUGAGCGUGGUCCAAGCGUGGCCGCACACGUCUUAUCCGAGAAAAGAGUCCAUUUUUGCUUAGGAGAAGGCAUAAUUAUUUGGGCCUGACCCUACUUGGUAUAUAUACAUGGGAAAUGAUAUUUUGGGGACCUUUGACAUACUUUUGACAGAAAUUAGACCUAAGGAGGCUAAGGAGACCGAGGAUUCGACCUUAGGAGGCAAGAACACACUAGGAGCAAGGUGGGGAAUUCUUCUAUGAGUUUCACUUUCUUCUUCAUAUUUCCAUUAUUAGUUGUAAAUUCCAGUAUUGUAGUUAUGCAUACUAUUAUGAAUAGCUAAUUUGUUAUCUAGGGUGUUGACGGAACCUAUUGGAUGAUGAUUUUCCAGUUACAUUAAUAUAGAUUUGAUGUAGUAUUUUCUUUAUUUGUUUAACUACUUAUUAUUAUGGUUGGUUGAAGAGCUCUCAAUUGACUAAGCAUAUUUAGUGUGUAUUACUAGGGAGAGAGUACAUAUUUAGGUAAUUGUUGAACAACAUCACUCCUAACAUAUAUGAGGGAUCAAUAGGGAGGGUUUAAAGGUGGGAUUAGGGAUAACGAAACUUUGGGUACGAUCUAAGUGAGGUGUGCUUAAGGCUAGCUAGCGUAAUUCGUGAGAAUAUGUCUAGGAUAUUGUUGUAAUUACUCGGGAGAGAGUUAUGACAAUUAGAGUGCACAUGAUCAAUAGAGAAGACUUAGGCAAAUUUAUAGGAAACGCAGUAGAAAUGAUUCCGACAAUUGAGGAAAUCAUAACUCCAGACUUCCUUAAUCUUUUCUCCAACCAAUAGUAUCCCUAGUUAUUAUCUAUGUAUAUAAUUUGUUAGUUAAUUAGAUAAAAGAAUCUUAAUAUUUAUAACAUAGGAAUUGUUCGAGCUUGUCUUUAUGGCAAUAAUGAACAAUUGUAGAUACACCUUAGUUCUUUGUGUGAUUUGACUCCGGACUUAUAAACCGGAUUAUAUUUGCAACGACCGCUUAGUCCUUUUUAUAAGGUAUAGUUGGGCGUGAUGAAUUUUGGCGCCGUUGCCAGAAAACUAACGGUGUAGUUGUAGGUGUACAUAUUUCUAGGUUGCAAGUUUGAACUAUUAUUUUUGUUUUCAUGUAUUUGACUAUUUAUUUAUUUUUAAAUUUUUUAUUUUUUGGUUUGAGAGAAAUAGCAUCUUGGAAUUAUGAGAGUUUUGAUGUUGGUAAUUCUACUUUGAUCCUCGUUAUGUAUAUGGUGGAGGAAACACACGGGAAAAAAUUAUCAAAAUAUUCCCGAGAGCGAGUUGUGUAUCAACUUAUAUGUGGAAUGUGUGUGAUAUGUGUGGUGGUCAAGAUGGUCACUUUCAUGGUUGUGCCUAUAUUUCUUACCUUUCCCCAACAUUUUACUUUGAUGGUUCUUUUUUUUUUUGAAGUUAAUAGGAACAAAGAACACAGGAUGACACGUAUAAUGGAAUUUUUCCAAUUAAAGUGACAUUAUUCGAAAUGAGAUUAUUUAUUUAUUUAGAGUCUCCACUUGGGAUAGGCUUGACUUUUGGUGUCCCAAGUCACCGGUUUAUUUAAAAUCCCAAAUCGAGGAAAAUUUUGACUGCCCAAACGAAGUCUGCGAACCAAAAAUUCUGAGUAAGGAAUUAUGUUGACUCAAGGAAGGUGUUAGGCACUCUCGGAUCCCGUGGUUCUAGCACAGUCGCUUAAACUAUUAUAAUUAAAAUCUGAUUUUAAUACAUGUUCACCCUAAUUUUAAAAUUAUUUAUCGCUUUUAAUUAAAUUUUUAGGAAUGAACGUCAUUUAAAACAGAAUACCUGGAGUGUAAGUUUAGCGCCGAGCCGAGCGAAGUAGGCAGAAACGUGAUGAUUGGAUCUCAGGCCAUCGCCAAGAGGGACACUGUCAGAUAUCUUGGGUCGGUGAUUCAGGGGGACGGAGAGAUUGACGGGGACGUCACUCAUCGUAUAGGAGCGGGGUGGUCAAAGAGUGUGGGAUGGUUGGUUUGGCUUUUGAGUGGUGCUAAUGAAAUAAGGAGAAAGGUGUACUGAUUCGAAAAAGCAAGAGACACUUGAAUUGAAAAAGAAAAGAAAGAAAUAAUAGUUGUAUUACUGUAAAAAAAUAUAUAUUUUUAUAGAGAUGUGAUUAGACCGGCCAUCUGUAUGGGGCGGAAUGCUGGCCAGUGAAGAACUCUCAUGUUCAGAGGAUGAAGGUUGCGAAGAUGAGGAUGCUCAUGUGGAUGUGCGGGCUCACCAGGUUAGAUAAGAUUAAGAAUGAAGUUAUUCGAGAGAAGGUGGGGGUGGCCCCGGUGGAUNNNNNNNNNNNNNNNNNNNNNNNNNNNNNNNNNNNNNNNNNNNNNNNNNNNNNNNNNNNNNNNNNNNNNNNNNNNNNNNNNNNNNNNNNNNNCAGAGGAGAAGUCCUGAUGCCCCGGUGAGGAGUUGUGAGCGACUGGCGAUGGUCGGCGCACGGCGAGGCAGAGGGAGGCCUAAGCGGUAUUGGGGAGAGGUGAUUAGGCAUGACAUGGCUAGAAUGCGGGUUGCUGAGGACAUGGCCCUUGAUAGAAAAGUCUGGACGUCUAGUAUCAAGGUUGUAGGAUAGGGGCCCCUAGAGUUUUUCAUUCUCCUCACCCGGGGUUGGGUGAGGCUUGGCAGGGCUAUCCAUAGUUGAUUUGUUUAUUGAAUUGUGUCUCCUUUAUGGUAGUUAUUUAUGGUAGUUACUGUCUGAUAUUAUUGCAUGCUAUUUUAUUUAUGGUUCUUUUGUUUAGAUAUUUAUUUACGNNNNNNNNNNNNNNNNNNNNNNNNNNNNNNNNNNNNNNNNNNNNNNNNNNNNNNNNNNNNNNNNNNNNNNNNNNNNNNNNNNNNNNNNNNNNNNNNNNNNNNNNNNNNNNNNNNNNNNCUAACGCUCUCUUGUUUUUGUUUCUGUUUUUCCUUUCCUUCACUGAGCCGGGGGUCGAUUGGAAACAGCCUCCCUGCCCUUUCGUGUAGGGGUAAGGCUCUUCUACAUAUUACCCUCCCCAGACCCCACUUUGUGGGACUAUGCUGGGUAGUUGUUGUUGUUGUUGUUGUACGUCAUUUAAAACAUGCGUUUGGAUCGCGUCACAUGAAAUGCACCCGGAUCCGAAACACAUUUUAUCCAACGUUUUGAGAUUUGAAUUUGAGUCACGUGAAAUGCAUACUCGUAUUUAGGAAGGUAAACUUAUUUAAAAACAUGCCUAAAGCGUCUAACGUAUUAUUAUCUUUGCGGAAAGCUAUGAAGUUCACUAAAUGGCAUGUCCCAAAUUUCUAAGUAUUUUAAUAUAAGACUUUAACGAGGGCCACACAAUUUACGGGUUUUAUUUGGCACGGCACACCUCAUUUUAUUUCAAAAGAUUACACUCAACUUAAAGCAAACUACGAAUGGUCAUAAUUAUUUGACGAAACAUUAUAAAUAUUUACAAAAUUCUCAUUAUAAACGUACCAAAACAAACUUGGAAACUAGAAAAUUAAAAGGCAAUAGCUAGCAGCAAUUUAGACGAACUUCCAAACGUUGAUAUAUUAAAAUCACAUUACUGAAUCAAAUAUUGCAUUUAGUUCUACAUUUGAAACUCAUGGAUUGAGAUAUGUUCUAAAUUUUUAGAACCUAUUAAGACUGAAAGAAAUAUUGGCCCCAUCAGAUUGUAACUGAUUUCAAGUGGGCAAAUCUAAAUUGGUAAUAGUUAGAUUAAGAGAUUUGAUGACAGUCAAUAGUGUUAACUAUAUAAUAUGUUUGUGUUAUAGCCCCGAUUGCCUAUUUUUAUGGAUCUUGUCUAAAGAAGAGGUAUGGUAUGAUAAAAUAAAGUUCAACUUCCUUUUAAUUUCUCUCUUCCCUCUAACGCAAAUGAUAUCUAGACUUUGAGCUCCAAAUGCAUAUCAGUGAGACAAAUCAAAAUCCAUGGCAUGACUAUUGAAACCAAACUCGUCCAUUCAAGGUUUAAAGAGUACACAGGAGAACAAACAAAACUUAUCUACUCAGUCACGAGGAAGGCAAGAAAUAUCUCACGAGAAAAGCCCCAAAAUAUUGUCACAUAAGCCAUAAGAUACGAAUAAGAGAAAUCAAACAAAUGAUACUAACAUUCACGACACAGAUCUGAAAAGAACAACAUUGAAAUUUAUAUCAAUUUUCACAAUCCAAACCCAUUUCUCAACCAAUUUGCAAAAAAACGAUUGAAGAAAUACCUGAUUUCAAGAGAUUAAGGAAAACAGAAAAUUACUUCCGAAACGAGCAUCACAAGGUUUCGAAUCAGAAUCGACGUCGAACAAUCUCGAUCGGUGACGAACCUGAAAAUGGACAGAACCCGGACUGAUUUUCUUUUCAAAAUAGAAGAGAGAUAUGCGACUGUCUUUAUUGGAAUAGAUGAAUGGAUGGGGUGGGUCGUUUGUGUUCUGGCGUUGCCUUCUCCAGUGUCUAGCUCUGCAUUUUUUUUAUUUUUUAUUUUUGUUCUUCAAAUGAAGAAGAAGAAGUUCAGGGGGUUGUUUGGGUAUGGGGUGGUCCGAAGAAGAAGAGACGUGGAGAGUGGGUCUUUAUUGCACUGUUGCCGCCUUCUAUAUGUUAGAGUGUAGGUCUUUUUAAGCUUUUUU